GAAAAAAACCAAAAAAGAAA
rnacentral:sRNA from 1 species